GCGGCAGGCCUAACACAUGCAAGUCGAGCGGUAGAGAGAAGCUUGCUUCUCUUGAGAGCGGCGGACGGGUGAGUAAUGCCUAGGAAUCUGCCUGGUAGUGGGGGAUAACGUUCGGAAACGAACGCUAAUACCGCAUACGUCCUACGGGAGAAAGCAGGGGACCUUCGGGCCUUGCGCUAUCAGAUGAGCCUAGGUCGGAUUAGCUAGUUGGUGAGGUAAUGGCUCACCAAGGCGACGAUCCGUAACUGGUCUGAGAGGAUGAUCAGUCACACUGGAACUGAGACACGGUCCAGACUCCUACGGGAGGCAGCAGUGGGGAAUAUUGGACAAUGGGCGAAAGCCUGAUCCAGCCAUGCCGCGUGUGUGAAGAAGGUCUUCGGAUUGUAAAGCACUUUAAGUUGGGAGGAAGGGCAGUUACCUAAUACGUGAUUGUUUUGACGUUACCGACAGAAUAAGCACCGGCUAACUCUGUGCCAGCAGCCGCGGUAAUACAGAGGGUGCAAGCGUUAAUCGGAAUUACUGGGCGUAAAGCGCGCGUAGGUGGUUUGUUAAGUUGGAUGUGAAAUCCCCGGGCUCAACCUGGGAACUGCAUUCAAAACUGACUGACUAGAGUAUGGUAGAGGGUGGUGGAAUUUCCUGUGUAGCGGUGAAAUGCGUAGAUAUAGGAAGGAACACCAGUGGCGAAGGCGACCACCUGGACUAAUACUGACACUGAGGUGCGAAAGCGUGGGGAGCAAACAGGAUUAGAUACCCUGGUAGUCCACGCCGUAAACGAUGUCAACUAGCCGUUGGAAGCCUUGAGCUUUUAGUGGCGCAGCUAACGCAUUAAGUUGACCGCCUGGGGAGUACGGCCGCAAGGUUAAAACU
rnacentral:rRNA from 1 species